AGUAAGAAUGUGUUUUGUUCAUGAAAGUAUCGUACAGUUAUUCAUUUCGGGCACUAAUUUCUGCUCUAAAACUAAUUGUAAACCAGGGUGAAGAACUGCACUUUUAAUAUUUUUUGCUAAGUAUGAAUUUUAUUAUAUGUUCAAACAAGAAACAGAGUAAUGCAACUUUAUGUCAAAUAGGGUCAAAUAAUGGCAAUAAACACAUGAUUGUCUGAUACUGCACAAAGCCUCCAGCAGUGUGUAGUACAUGAUACACUUUACAAGGUAGUAAGCAUUUUGUAGCCCCCACAGAGCAGGUGUGGAGGGUGCGAGUAAAUGUAAGAGUUGUGAGGGAAGUCUUGUUGUCCCUUGAGUGAGUGACAGUGGCAGGAGGUGGAGCAUGACAGGAUGGGAGAGUAGCAAGCUUGUGAGGAGACAACUGUUACUGUUAAUACAAGAAGUGAUCAAAAUGUUGGAGGAACAACACCUUCAAUACAACAUGGCCGGGAGAGAUAGAUAUCACUUCCCCACAGGACCUGCCAUUCUGAUGUCGUCCUAGACUCAUAGUGAGUUUGGAUCACCACGGUGAAUGAAGAAAGCCAAGUGAUUUGUUAAAAGUGGCUGUUUAUACACUUUUUGAGCCCAAGGUAUAAAGUGUAUAUACAAUGAUGCAGCAAGUUUGUGUGUUAACUUGUUUCAGUGUAAGAAGUGUUUUAAACCUGAAUUUGCAAAAGUUGAGGCAUUGGUCCAAAGGGAGAACAGAUAACUACUUCCAGGCACAUCUGAGACCUCACCCAUGUGACUGUUCCUUGCCUCCUGCCCCAUUUAUUUAGUAGUUUUUGUCUUCAGAUCUCUGGUAGGUGUAUUAUCAUAGUGAUUAAUAUUGGUUUGAUUCAUUAGCACCACAACCCUGUCAGCAUAAAUUUGUGAUCAGCAAGCAAUGCAAAACACCAUUGCAUCACGGGGUUUUGGUUCCACAGAAAUUAUUACUAACACUGUCAGCCUUCAGUUAUGGCACCAUUCCAUUAUGCUGCAACUCACAAUCAUUUGUUCUCAAUGUCAGAUGAUGAAUUCUGCCAUCUCAAUGGAGGACUUGAUGAGUCCUUAAGUUGAAAGCCUCAAGAAAAAUCACUGUUCUGAGACCUAAUGUAAUAUGUUGACUAUUACAUUUGACAAAACCAGGCUCCCAGAAUGAUUCUGGAACUCUCCUCGUGGAUGUCAACACUGUGAGACUCACCGUCCUCUUUAUAAUUCAGCACAUCUUCCACUGAGAACAAACAACUACUGAAGUACAGCAUAAAAUCAUGGCGCUGUUUACAACAGUUUCAGUGGAGCCCCACACCUUUGGUGCAAUGGUCCUUUGCAUUGCUGGCUCAUUAAAAAAUCUGAGUUGACAUGGUUGUGAUGGUAUUAAUUAAUAAAAACAAUAUUAGUAGCUCAUGGUGAUGCAUUACAAGAGCUGAGUUGUGCAGUGGGAGAAGAGGGAGUGGAACUCUCCAUGCAUCCUGUGCUCUGACUGACUCUAAUUUGCUCCUGUAGAAAUUGUCACAAACUUCAGGAGUGUGCAUCCAGGACCUAUAAAUGAGGUCGGGAAGGUUGAAGCCAAGAAUGGCAACUGCAUGAAAGUUAAGAAGUGCAGUUGUACCAAUGAAUGGAUGCAAAUGGGUGCUGUGGGAAGGGUUCUGGAUUUAAACAAGUUGGCUUCCAGGUAGGCUAGGUAAAAAUAUUUUUCACAAAAGUCAAAUCAUUGAAUAUUUUAAGGUUGCUGCGAAAUGCAGUCUCAAAUUGAGAUGCUGCAAAAUUAGUGCACCACUUGAUGGUCAUGGUAUUCAAGGCUGGCCAACAGGGCAGCAUAUAAAGGUUCUAUUUUCAGCGUUAUUUUUGACAAAGUAUAUAUAUGUCAAUGUAAAUAAAGAGUGCAUAAGUAUUUGAGUUAAGAUGCCUGCCAGAUGUGCACCCUCAUCAAGACAACCCACUCACCCCCAACGCAGGAUCCUUGUCAUGCAAAUGUUAUUAACCUUUGUAUAAGAUGAGCAUUGACAGUAUCAACUUGUCUAUUCAAUUACUAAGACAUUAACCGAGGAACACAACAAAGUGAUACCAAAUAUGCAGAUGGGUGAGGAUGUAGAUCAUGAAAAUGAAAGGAAACAAAUAGCAAUAUAAUAUAAUAAUUUUGCAGGCUUUGAUUAUCUGUUCUCCAAAACCUAACUUGCAAUCACUGGCAGGGCAGCAAUGUACUAUUUCCUCCUAACUACACGCAUCAAAACCCUCCAAUGAAUACAGCAUCUGCUCACAAGCUCUAAAUCUCCUACAACCAUUUCCCAGAAGAAAAAAAACUUCCAAGCCAUACUGCAUUUUUUCUUUUUAACUUUUCAGUGCCUGCCAAGAACAACUUUUUCAUUUAGAAGUUUUGAAAAGUUGUCACAUAGUUUUUUCUUUCACUUCACUUAACUCCUCCACAAGAAUAUGUAAUCAAUCAAGGUACGGCAGUUCUCUGAAUGGAAAACAAGUACAGGUUUUUCCCUGUUAUCCAACGGAGCUGUUCCAGAGAACCUCGUAGGAUAGUGAACCAUUGGAUUGUGAAACGGCUUCAACUUUGGUUUAGGUAAGAUUCAUUCCAGGACUUUUUCAGUUAAUCCCCAAAGUACAUUUAAAGAACAUUACUAUAUUCAUGAAGAGAAUAAUAUGUGCUCAAGAGGUAAGGUCUGCAAAAGGAUCAAGUGUAUAAUAAACGUCACAGACAGUUUUAGAGAGACUGACAGAGGAAGUGGGUGUAACAAUGGCCACCUAUAAGCAUAUAAAGGAACUGGGGUGGAUAACAUCGUCAAUGGCAGAAUAAGCCUCGUCAACAUUCAUCAAUAACAGAAUCGGCCUGGCCAACAAACACCUACAGGAAUGGCCAAAGGUAAAAACAGGUGCAGCAAGUGGUUUUCCAGGAUCACCAGCGCUGCCCAAUGGCGAGAGAGAAAAGCAGUGGCACUGCCUUAAGAGAUGAGAGUGGCUCCAGCUGUAGCUCAGAGGAGACCCUGAAGCACUUGGCUGUUGAUGAGACCCUGAUAUUGUGAGUAGCAAUACUUGAGCCCUUGGGCACCCAGUGUUGUGGACUUGCUGCAUAAACAGUUUCAACCUGGCUCAUAAAUGUAUAAUUCACAGAGAGCUUUCAUCAACUGAGAAAUAUGCAUAAAUUUAUUAUGUUUGAUGGUGCUCCAUAGGCUCACCUAACCUCACCAUAGUCAAUCCAGGAUGCAGUACGUAUCCUAACUGACAGGCGGUAAUGUUAUAAUUGUACUUCGUAAAGAAUCCUUAUAACUUAAAACUAAGUAAAAUUAUGAGUAUUCUUGAACAAAACACUGAACAAACAACAGAACAAUAAUAUAAAAAUACGUUAAUAUCUUAUCUGGCAACUGUGGGCCGAGGCAGCAACGCACGCCAUUGUGCAGGUAUCAUUUCUUUAAAUAAGCAUAUUUUUACUGUGCAAAGCAGGUGAUGUCACUUAUUGGGACUUGGUGAGCUUUCAUAUUUAUCUAUUUAUGUAUAUUUCAUGGAGGCAUAACUUACAUUACUACUUUCAAUUUUACUAGUGACACAAAUUUAUGACUUUUAUCACAAUGGAGUUUCAUUCAAUUAAGUGACUCAUACACCAUAGAAACAUUACCAGUGUGUGUAUGAAUGAAUACAAAGAUAAGCACAUACUUUGAUUCAACUCCAGGAUGUCUCGUGGAUCAUUUAUAAGUAAAAACAAAAAGUCCGGAUAGGCUACUCCUUAGCCCACUACCACCGCUUGAGGCACAAAAACAGUCCCUUCACCAAGUUUGGACCCACAUUUGGUGAUAUUAGGUGCACCUAUUGCAGUUUAUUUUCUGCAGGGCAGUGAAAUUAUUCUUGAAUGAGUCAAACAUUUGUAUAUUCCUUAAUUAAAAAUUGUAUUUCAA